UACUCYUACGGGAGGCAGCAGUGGGGAAUCUUGCACAAUGKGCGAAAGCUGAUGCAGMGACGCCGCGUGCGGGAUGACGGCCCUCRRGUUGUAAACCGCUUUCAGCAGGGACGAAAUUGACGGUACCUGCAGAAGAAGCACCGGCUAACUCCGUGCCAGCAGCCGCGGUAAUACGGAGGGUGCAAGCGUUGUUCGGAAUUACUGGGCGUAAAGGGCGCGUAGGUGGUUGUGUAASUCAGAUGUGAAAUCUCUCGGCUCAACCGAGAAACUGCAUCUGAUACUGCAUGACUAGAGUGCAGCAGAGGGAAACGGAAUUCCUGGUGUAGAGGUGAAAUUCGUAGAUAUCGGGAGGAACACCGGUGGCGAAGGCGGUUUCCUGGGCUGACACUGACGCUGAGGCGCGAAAGCGUGGGUAGCAAACAGGAUUAGAUACCCUGGUAGUCCACGCUGUAAACGAUGUGUGCUAGACGUUGGGGAGCCUAGCUCUUCGGUGUCGCAGCUAACGCGGUAAGCACACCGCCUGGGGAGUACGGCCGCAAGGUUAAAACUCAAAUGAAUUGACGG
rnacentral:rRNA from 1 species